CCUACGGGUGGCAGCAGUGAGGAAUAUUGGUCAAUGGACGAGAGUCUGAACCAGUCAAGUAGCGUGAAGGAUGACUGCCCUAUGGGUUGUAAACUUCUUUUAUAUGGGAAUAAAAUGUUCCACGUGUGGGCUUUUGUAUGUACCAUAUGAAUAAGGAUCGGCUAACUCCGUGCCAGCAGCCGCGGUAAUACGGAGGAUCCGAGCGUUAUCCGGAUUUAUUGGGUUUAAAGGGAGCGUAGGUGGAUUGUUAAGUCAGUUGUGAAAGUUUGCGGCUCAACCGUAAAAUUGCAGUUGAAACUGGCAGUCUUGAGUACAGUAGAGGUGGGCGGAAUUCGUGGUGUAGCGGUGAAAUGCUUAGAUAUCACGAAGAACUCCGAUUGCGAAGGCAGCUCACUGGACUGCAACUGACACUGAGGCUCGAAAGUGUGGGUAUCAAACAGGAUUAGAUACCCUAGUAGUC
rnacentral:rRNA from 1 species